GGAACAAACAAAGUCUGUGCUAACUCUCCAUCCUUUCUGUUGGAAAGGGCUCUUUUUAUUUUCCAGUCUCUUUGCUGCCUUUACUUUCUUCCCUUGUCUGACCUGUUUCUAUGAGAGAGAGCUUUUACCCACCUCCCUUCUGCUGGGUUCUCUCUCAUUCCAUUUGUUGGUUGCUUUUCUGCAACCUUUCUGCAUUUUGCUGGACACCUUCAUCCAUUUCCACCCAUGCAUUCUCUCUGGAGCCCAACAUUUACUACCCUGUUCUGUGCCAUCUCAGUUAGUUAUGAUAUAAUCUAAUACUUCAUGAUAAGAGAGACUAAUUUAUUUUCUGUGUAAUUUAGACCAGCCCUUGGGAAAAAAUGCAGUAAAGCAUUAAUAAUAACUAUAAUAUGUAGCAGAUUAUUGUCCCUGGCACAGAAUGGUCUCAGUUAAAUAGAACCACACAGAAGUAUGGAAUAGCUGAGUCUGGAUGGGCUUCUGGAAAUUCUCCAGUCCAAGCCCCACAUUCAGCAGACCUGUGUCUGGUCUGGUCUUCGUGAUAGCUUCUGCAACACUGGUAAAACAGUUCUGAUCAGUUUUCUGAUAGCUGCAGAAGAAUGUCAGUUAGUUUUGAUCUAAAAGGAUACACUGAAGUAUCCUUUAGCUUAGCUGAUUUGGGAGCUAGAGCAAAGAUUAUCUGCAAAUAAAAUUAAUGGAACAGAAUAAUGGUAAUGAACUGAGAACAGAAGUUCAGGGAAAUUUGGUGAUGUAUAAUGAGAUAAUGCUUUGUGAUGAUGCAUAAUAAGAUAAUGCAGAAAAAAAUAUAGCAAAUUACAGUAGGCAAAAAGAAGUCUCUCUUCUGUCAACCUGGGAUUCAACUCUGAAAGAAUUUCUGAGAAACUUCAGUAGUUUAACAUAAAUGCAAUCUUAAAAUACUUUUUAUUAGAAGCUUCAUUUGAAACAACACCAUGCACACACUGUGGAGUUAGAAGGAUCUUUUUCAUAUUCAUGUGAAUAAUAACUUGAUGUUUGCUUAUAUAUAUAUAUAUUUAGAAAGAACAUCUUGUACCUCUGCAGCUAACACCUUUCCUGCUCGAGGGAGAUCUGGCACAUUGAAAGGAGUAUUUGGAUUAUUCUGUAGCACUUGCAUAACGAGUCCUUCCGUAGGCCUUGCAGGAAUGCCCCGGGGACUGCAGCAGCCCUUUGCUGGCAGGUGUGACCAGUGUGUGAGACAGUGCCAGCUGGGCACAGAGCAGGCAAAGCCAUUGACCCCGUCACUAAAUACUUCAGCCGCAGCAACACGAGCACCGCACAGAUGCAGCUGAUGCAGCCGAUGAUCGAGAGGCUUUGCAGCACCCGUGCCUUCCCCAAGCCCAGCCCACCGGCUACGCCUCUGCUCUGUGUUACCAGCAAGGGCCGUCACUAAUGACGGCAGGGACGGAGUCUCGUUGGCAAAUGUCCCACAGGGGACAGUGUCGAUUUCUCUGUCUUGGGGCGAUUUUAUGAUGAUACUCUAUUCCAUAAUCAUCUGCUUUAUGCCCAGAAAAGCUGUUGUAGCUUUAAGAUGAACCCGGGGCCGGAGCCUGGGAGCCCCGGGCGCGGGCUCUGUUCAAACUCUGUCCCUCCGGCGCUCGGGACAGCGUGGAGCGGGAUGCUGCACUGUUCCUCUUGUUGCAUUGGUUUUUGCUAGCUUGAAGCAAGAAGUCUUUUUCCCCUUCCCUUCCCCUAGCCUGGAGGCUGUACCGGGAAUCCUCUCAGCAGCUUUUUUGGGGUUUUUUUCCGUGAAAUGUUUCGGCUUGGCUUGUUUUUCUUUUCGGCCCGUCCGGGGAACCGGUGGGACCGCCCCGAACUCGAGACCUCGGAGGAGCUGAACCAACAAGAGAAAAGGACAUUCAACUCCACCAACUUCGCCUGCUGCGAGGAGGAGACCCAAGCCAGAAAUCUAACAGGUUCCCAGCUGUUGUGAACUCUUUUCUCCCCCCUCCCAGAGACGGAGAAGGGCAGCCGCCAUCUUUGCCUCUCGGCCACACGGCGAGGUGGGGGUGGGUGUAAGGUUCAGUUCCUUUUUUUCCUGCGCUUUGCGGGUAUCUUGCUUUGUCAAUAAACAGUUUUACCUUUUU